UACGUAGGUGGCAAGCGUUGUCCGGAAUUAUUGGGCGUAAAGCGCGCGCAGGCGGGAUUGCAAGUCUAUCUUAAAAGUUCGGGGCUCAACCCCGUGAUGGGAUAGAAACUGUAAUUCUUGAGUACAGGAGAGGAAAGUGGAAUUCCCAGUGUAGCGGUGAAAUGCGUAGAUAUUGGGAGGAACACCAGUGGCGAAGGCGGCUUUCUGGACUGUGUCUGACGCUGAGGCGCGAAAGCCAGGGGAGUGAACG
rnacentral:rRNA from 1 species